GAUGAACGCUGGCGGCGUGCUUAACACAUGCAAGUCGAACGAUGAAGCCCAGCUUGCUGGGUGGAUUAGUGGCGAACGGGUGAGUAACACGUGAGUAACCUGCCCUUAACUCUGGGAUAAGCCUGGGAAACUGGGUCUAAUACCGGAUAGGAGCGUCCACCGCAUGGUGGGUGUUGGAAAGAUUUAUCGGUUUUGGAUGGACUCGCGGCCUAUCAGCUUGUUGGUGAGGUAAUGGCUCACCAAGGCGACGACGGGUAGCCGGCCUGAGAGGGUGACCGGCCACACUGGGACUGAGGCACGGCCCAGACUCCUACGGGAGGCAGCAGUGGGGAAUAUUGCACAAUGGGCGAAAGCCUGAUGCAGCGACGCCGCGUGAGGGAUGACGGCCUUCGGGUUGUAAACCUCUUUCAGUAGGGAAGAAGCGAAAGUGACGGUACCUGCAGAAGAAGCACCGGCUAACUACGUG
rnacentral:rRNA from 1 species